rnacentral:rRNA from 1 species
AGCUAGAGUAGGUGAGAGGGAAGUAGAAUUCCAGGUGUAGCGGUGAAAUGCGUAGAGAUCUGGAGGAAUACCGAUGGCGAAGGCAGCUUCCUGGCAUCAUACUGACACUGAGGCUCGANAGCGUGGGUAGCAAACAGGAUUAGAUACCCUGGUAGUCCACGCCGUAAACGAUGUCUACUAGUCGUUGGGUCCCNNGAGGACUUAGUGACGCAGCUAACGCAAUAAGUAGACCGCCUGGGGAGUACGGCCGCAAGGUUAAAACUCAAAUGAAUUGACGGGGGCCCGCACNAGCGGUGGAGCAUGUGGUUUANUUCGAUGCAACGCGAAGAACCUUACCUGGUCUUGACAUACACAGAAUCUUGUAGAGAUACGAGAGUGCCUUCGGGAAUUGUGAUACAGGUGCUGCAUGGCUGUCGUCAGCUCGUGUCGUGAGAUGUUGGGUUAAGUCCCGCAACGAGCGCAACCCUUGUCCUUAGUUACCAGCGGGUUAAGCCGGGAACUCUAAGGAUACUGCCAGUGACAAACUGGAGGAAGGCGGGGACGACGUCAAGUCAUCAUGGCCCUUACGACCAGGGCUACACACGUGCUACAAUGGUAGGUACAGAGGGCAGCUACACAGCGAUGUGAUGCGAAUCUCAAAAAGCCUAUCGUAGUCCAGAUUGGAGUCUGCAACUCGACUCCAUGAAGUAGGAAUCGCUAGUAAUCGCGGAUCAGAAUGCCGCGGUGAAUACGUUCCCGGGCCUUGUACACACCGCCCGUCACACCAUGGGAGUUGAUUGCACCAGAAGUGGUUAGCCGA